GUCAACAUGGUGGAGUGGUUUGAGCAUUGGACUGCAACUCUGGAGACCAGGGUUCGAAUCCCUGCUCAGCCA